GGGGGGGGCUCCACUCACACAGCUCUCCUGGACAGAGUAGAGUCUAAGGCCCACAAACAUAAACAUUCCCUUCCCCCUUCCGUGGGCAUGAGGAUCCUUUGUCACACAAACCGUAAUCUUAGAGUGUUUUGGGCCGCGACGGAACCCGCCGCAUCACGGGGGAAGGGGAGACACGAAGGAACAGCAGACGGCGCCUCUUCCCCCUUCCCGCUCCCUGACGCUGAGACUUCCUCUGUAUUUUUCUUCGCAUUAUUGGACGAGCUAUCUGAGAACAUGGACGAGUAUCAACAGUUGUGGGAUAACUGGGAACCUUAGGAUCAAUUGGAUGAGGAGCUGGAUGAUCAGGCAGAUGCCCAGGGAGUUAUCGGACGUACACGUCGCAGGAUUGUUAAAGGCUGUCCUGUUCCGCCACACCUGCAAACCCUGAUUGCAGUACGUUGCAUGGCAACGGGGGACCACCAGAUGACAUUAGGGGACUGCCAUGAUGUGUCGCAAAUGACUGUCAGCAGAUGUUUGAAGAUUGUGUCAAGAGCAAUCGUUAGUUUGAGCUAGUGUUAUAUAAAACCUCCUUGCGGCAAUGACCUGCGGCGAACAAAUGAACAAUUCCAUGACAUCAGUGGAAUGCCUGGUUUGGUAGGGGCAAUUGAUUGCACAUAUACCUCUAUACUGAGACCAUCUGUGGAAAACCCUGAGAUGUUUAGGUGUAGAAAAUUAUUUUUUUCAUUAAAUGUCCAAGCUGUGUGUGUGCCAGACCUGCAGUUUCAUAAUGUUGUUGCCCGUUGGCCUGGGAGCGUCCUUGACAGUCGAAUUUUUUAAAACAGCAGGCUCUGUGCUGAAAUAGAAGUUAAUUUAAAUCCCAGGUAUCAUCUACUUGGGGAUGCAGGAUGUCCCUUGAAAAGGUAUCUAAUGACACCUGUGUCAUUUCCAGAUAAUGCUCAUAAGAGAGCUUACGAUAUAACUACAGUCAUUCCCAAACCAGAAACACUGUUGAACGGGCAUUUGGGGUAUUAAAAAGGAGGUUUGGGUACUUAAGGAAGAGAGUCAGGACAAAUUUAGACAUCACCAAAACUAUUGUAGUUGCUUGUGUGGUACUACACAAUAUUGCGGUGAAAACUAGGCUGGUUUUGCCACAAGAUGGAAGGGAUGUGAACAUAAAUGUCAAUAACAUCCCUAAUGAGGUUCCUGCACAUAUACAAGGAAAUGUAGAAGGCAGAUGGAAACGGUAGCAAAUCAUCAGGGACUUCUUCUAAGGGCCGCUUUCACAGUCACGUUUGUUUGUGUUGAUCGUUACCAAUGAGCGGCGAUCGCCGCUACCAACAAGAAAUCCGCUUUCACAGUCGUCUUUCGCGGCGCUGUUUGCUUGCAUCAGUACCAGAGAUUGGAACCUCUGGUAACGGAGCUCUGGUAGCCGCGGGGGCUCCCCAGUGGAGCUUACCAAUGACAUUAAUUAGUAAAUAAUACAAAUUCUUGCUCUCAAAUGGUUAUAAUAUUUUGUUUUCAAAUAGAUGUGAAACAUAUUAAACAAUACAGCAACACGUUGCACGGCUUCAAUGGUAAUAUGAGAAAAAAAUUAGAAGAAUUUGAAUGACAUGAACUCACUUCACCUGUUGACCAGUAAACUUCCUGCUGAGAAUUUCAAUUUGAUUGAUUGAUUGUUAUUGUUGCAAAAGUACACAACAAAGAAGAAGGGAGGACUUUAAUACUUGUCACCAUUAUUCACCUGUUAUGCCUUCUUUGUCAAACUCGUAUUAUUCUAGUUAGCUUAUUAUGUAUGCAUAUGGCAUAUAUAUAACGAAAUCAGCCCUAUUAAGUAAAUAAUAAAUGUGAAGUCUGAUAAAUAAGUGUGAAUAAUGAAUACAUGUAAUUGAUAUAGGUGAAGAGUCUGUCUUGCUGACAUCUGCUAAUAUAAGAGAACUUUAAUUAAAUACUUUUCACCAUUAUUUCACCUUUUCCGCCACGGAAAUAUUAGGCUAUCAGCAGAUUUGAGGGGUGUAUCAGCGAGACACUCCACAUUUUUUCAUCAUAUUUAUUCUUCACAGUUAUUCUUUAUAUUUAGUCUUCAUGUUUACUUUUUGUACGUUUAUUUUUUUCAUAUUACUCCUUCAUAAUCCUCCGCUCAGCUGAUGUAUACAUAUUUUUUUUACAACAAAGGGGACAGCUCAAGGGCACAAAAUAAAAGGAAACGAUAAUAACAAAAAAAAAAAAAA